rnacentral:tRNA from 1 species
UAGCUCAGUUGGUAGAGUAGAGCAUGGUGUUUGCAACGCCAGGAUUGUGGGUUCGAUUCCCAC